rnacentral:rRNA from 1 species
UAAUUAAUAAUAAUCCUAAUUUUAAAAAAUAUUUCUACUGUUGGAUCCUUUCGUACUAAAACAGUAAUAACAAUACUAAAAGAUAGAAACCAACCUGGCUCACACCGGUUUGAACUCAAAUCAUGUAAAGUUUUUAAGGUCGAACAGACCUACCUGUGGAACUUCUACACCCCACUGAAACUUUAAUUCAACAUCGAGGUCGCAACUACUUUCGUCGAUAAGAACUCUCAGAAAAAAUAACGCUGUUAUCCCUAAAGUAACUUAUUCUUAUAAUCCUCAUUAAAGGAUCAAAAUUCUCUAAAAAUAUCUAUUUCAACUAACAAACAGUUACAAUUAUAUUCUUGUCGCCCCAACAUAAUAUACCUACAUUAAUAUACUUUAAACUUAAAUUCAAAAACUAAUAUUCUAAUAUAAAGUUUUAUAGGGUCUUAUCGUCCCCUUAAAUCAAUUAAGCCUUUUCACUUAAAAGUUAAAUUCAAUCUUUAUAAACGAGACAGAGUACUUCUUGUCCAACCAUUCAUUCCAGCCUCCAAUUAAAAGACUAUUGAUUAUGCUACCUUCGCACGGUCAAAUUACCGCGGCCCUUUAAAAAUUUCAGUGGGCAGGCCAAACUUUACAUAUUAUCGUAAAAACAUGUUUUUGAUAAACAGGCAGAAGCCCUUAUUUGCCGAAUUCCUUUUUUAUACCUAAAAGAAAGUAUUUCAUUUCCUUAAUUUUAAACUAUUAAAUCCACACUACUACAUACUUAUAUAACCAUUUCAUUUAAUUGCUUACAAUUAACAAUCAUUUUUCCCUACCAUCUCUAGAAAACAUAUAAAAUUAGGUUUCCCUUAUCUUAACUAGAACGCUUUAUAAAUAUAGCUAAUUUUAAGCCUAAUUCAAUAAAUUAAAUCCCUACCUUCAUAGAAACUUUAAACAAAGAGCUCUUCCCCUCUGCUUUUCCCUAUCACCACAUCUAAAUCAAUAAUAGCAAAAUUAAAUUUCUUUCAAGAAAAACUAGAUAUAUAAGGCUCGACUAAAAUAUCAUUACUAACUCACUAUUCUAUAUUAUUUUAACACAUAAUUAUAAUUAACAAAUUAGCUCUCCUCACUUCGAGACCCCGCCCGAUAUAACAAUCAUAUUAGCUACCCCUGAUACAAAAGGUACAAAAAUUAAUUUUUACUUUUCCCUAAUUUAUAUACAUCCUUCUCUUACGAUACUAUUCCUCUCUAGUUCAAUUAAAAAUUUCUUUUUAAUACUAAUUCUACAAUAUAAUUUCUUUUUUAAAAUUUAUAUCUAAUAUACUC